GUCAAUAAGGCGCUGCUGGCUCAUUUGAGGGAAUGUAAAUCUUUACAAAAAUAAUAGCCUGUGUAGUGAAAUAUUUUAAUACAGGUUGACAUGAUUGCUUUAGAUUAAUUUUAUCCCGUUUCUGUGUCUAGAAUAAGCCAAGCUGUGCUCUCGCCAGAUCCAGUACGAGCACUUAAAAGAAGCAUGCUACCUUUAUAGCAAAGUUUCGCGGUACAACUGUGAUCUUGAACAGCGCCCCACAGAGGUUUGUUUCUGGUCAGAGGUCUAUUGUGUGGCUAGUAGAUCAGACAGACUCCUGCAGUUGUUUAGCAAUGUAAUCCCAAGUCAUUUGUCACAGUACAGAGCAGGUGCAGUAGCUAUGCAUGCACAAGAGGAGAUCAAUGCAAUUAGCAGCCAAUGCAAAGGACUUCAAUACUAAUGUAAGUGAACACACAUGACAGAGAGAGGUCAGAGAGAAAAAGAGGGAGAGAAAGAGAUAUGUCUGUUUGAGUAAUAUGCAAUUAAGGGCAUAUUAUAAUUUGGCUAAUGUGUGUGUUUUAGAUAUUUAACACCUUUACAAAUGGUAACACUGGAUCCCUACUGUAGAAUGCAGUAUCCUCAUGCUGCAAUGCAAUAUCUUGGAUGACAGUGGGCAUGAACAGACUGUCUAGACCAAUGUUUCCCCAGCCUUUUUUAUGUAGUCAAAACAGAAAUGUAUUCAGGCUACAACUCAAACUACUCAAAUGCAAGUGUGAUUUUGCUCUAUAAACAAAAUUGAAUAUUGAGUAACAGGAAGCUUUCCGCUAUAGAGGUUUUUUUAUAGGCAUUUGAACAUUUCGAAUUUCAGUGACUCUUUCUGGUACACCAGUAGGUGGCACUGAUUGUUGUUCUGUGUUAUGAGCGAGUCAUUGAAUCAUUAAGCAACUGAUUCGAUAACAGCUUCCAAAAUCGCAUACUAAUUGUACACUCACCUUUUCACAUACAUUUUUUUAUAUAUAGUAGGGCAGUAAGCCACUCACCAACUAAAUGUUAUUUAACAACGUGAAAGAUUUUAAAUCUUACUAUAAUCAGUCUUUAAAGCAGCAGAGGAGCCAC
ensembl:lncRNA